rnacentral:rRNA from 1 species
GAUGAACGCUGGCGGCGUGCCUAAUACAUGCAAGUCGAGCGAACAGAUAAGGAGCUUGCUCCUUUGACGUUAGCGGCGGACGGGUGAGUAACACGUGGAUAACCUACCUAUAAGACUGGGAUAACUUCGGGAAACCGGAGCUAAUACCGGAUAACAUAUUGAACCGCAUGGUUCAAUAGUGAAAGGCGGCCUUGCUGUCACUUAUAGAUGGAUCCGCGCCGUAUUAGCUAGUUGGUAAGGUAACGGCUUACCAAGGCAACGAUACGUAGCCGACCUGAGAGGGUGAUCGGCCACACUGGAACUGAGACACGGUCCAGACUCCUACGGGAGGCAGCAGUAGGGAAUCGUCCGCAAUGGGCGAAAGCCUGACGGAGCAACGCCGCGUGAGUGAUGAAGGUCUUCGGAUCGUAAAACUCUGUUAUCAGGGAAGAACAAAUGUGUAAGUAACUGUGCACAUCUUGACGGUACCUGAUCAGAAAGCCACGGCUAACUACGUG